rnacentral:lncRNA from 1 species
AGGACUGAUCUCUGUGCUAUGCCUCUGGAAGACAUUCAAGAGCUUUGUACAGUGUACUUACAUAACAGUAUUCUGUUCCAUUUGAUGAAAGCAUCUUCCCACAUCUUUUAUCGAGAACGCUGGCAUUUUUGGACUCUGGUAUUGCUGUCACCUCAAACCCUGUAUUCAAUAGCUCUCAAAAGACCUGUACCUUCGUGUUUUUUCCAGUGUUACCUGUGUAAAUGCAUGUAAGUCCUUUUGGGUAAGGACUGGGGAAAUAUUUUGUACAUACUACUGUGGGGAUGCAGGGUCCUUCCUUAAGAGUGUCUGACCUCUGCUUCAAUUGAUGGACUCUGUGUCUAAGAACUGGCUCAAGUCCGGAAACAGCUUGUGAUUUUUAGAUUGCAUCACUUGAUAUCAGCCUUCUGUUUUCCAUCUCAAAGCAUUUUAAAAAAUUACAUAAGUCAAGCAACAUUCUAAUUGUUUUCCAUCGGUUUCACUCCUGUGAAUACCAUGGUAUUUUAGCCAUAGUGAAGAUCCCAAUGGGUUAGGUGCCAUGGUUGCCAUUCUCUUUUGCUGUCCAUUAACAUAAUCAUCUCCACCUUUCCUCUGACUGUUACGUAGCAUAAUUUGGACUCUGCUGUUCUGGAAUUCUAUCAUCCAUAUUGACACUAGGGAGCCUAGUUUGUAAUGGUAUCCUCCAUCAUUCAUUCAAGCCUACAGGGGACAGACUGUGCCUCCCCGACUUGUGCAUUUUUUUAUUGCUUUAAUAAAUUCUAGUGUCCUCUGCUCCCUCCCAGGACACAUAGUGAACUGGUGAUUCUCUGAUUUUAUAUAACAAAUCCAUUUUAGUAAGGAUACCUCCUCUCUGAGUUUUCUAACUCCUUCUUUUGUAUACUGACAAGGAAAUUUCAGGAGCUACACUUUAUUUACUAUAGGCUAACAGUUCUCAAAACUAUUUGGUCUUGAGACCCAUUUACACUUUUACAAUGUCUGAGAACUGUGAAUAGUUUUUGCCUAUGUGGGUUAUGCCUACCAAUAUUUACCAUAUUGGAAAUUAAACGAAAAUAUUAAAAUACAUUUGUCUUAAUUCAUUUUAAAAUGACAAAAUAAGUCAAUUACAGGUAAACAUAUCUAAUAUAUUUUUAUAAAUUAGAAAAAUUAUUUUACCUUACGU